rnacentral:rRNA from 1 species
UCCCUACGGGGGGCAGCAGUGGGGAAUAUUGCACAAUGGGCGAAAGCCUGAUGCAGCAACGCCGCGUGAGUGAUGAAGGCCUUCGGGUCGUAAAACUCUGUCCUCAAGGAAGAUAAUGACGGUACUUGAGGAGGAAGCCCCGGCUAACUACGUGCCAGCAGCCGCGGUAAUACGUAGGGGGCUAGCGUUAUCCGGAUUUAUUGGGUUUAAAGGGUGCGUAGGCGGAAUGCCAAGUCAGCGGUAAAAUCGCGGGGCUCAACCUCGCUCCGCCGUUGAAACUGGCGUUCUUGAGUGGGCGAGAAGUA